rnacentral:misc_RNA from 1 species
GAUGAAGAACGUAGUGAAAUGCGAUAAGUAAUGUGAAUUGCAGAAUUCAGUGAAUCAUCGAGUCUUUGAACGCACAUUGCGCCCCCUGGUAUUCCGGGGGGCAUGCCUGUCCGAGCGUCAUUGCUGCCCUCAAGCACGGCUUGUGUGUUGGGCCCCCGUCCCCGGUUCUCCCCGGGGACGGGCCCGAAAGGCAGCGGCGGCACCGCGUCCGAUCCUCGAGCGUAUGGGGCUUUGUCACCCGCUCUGUAGGCCCGGCCGGUGCCAGCCGACACCCCAACUUUAUUUUCUAAGGUUGACCUCGGAUCAGGUAGGGAUACCCGCUGAACUUAAGCAUAUCAAUAAGCGGAGGA